rnacentral:tRNA from 1 species
GGGAUCUUAAUUUAACUGGUAAAAUGUGUGACUUUUAAUCAUUAUUAUACAGGUUCAAACCCUGUAGGUCUC